CCUACGGGUGGCUGCAGUGGGGAAUCUUGCGCAAUGGGCGAAAGCCUGACGCAGCGAUGCCGCGUGCGGGAUGAAGGCCUUCGGGUCGUAAACCGCUUUCAGCAGGGACGCGGCCGCAAGGUGACGGUACCUGCAGAAGAAGCCCCGGCUAACUACGUGCCAGCAGCCGGGGUAAUACGCAGGGGGCGAGCGUUAUCCGGAUUCAUUGGGCGUAAAGCGCGCGUAGGGGUCCUGUUAGGUCGGGAGUUAAAUCCGGGGGCUCAACCCCCGUCCGCUCCUGAUACCGGCAGGCUUGAGUCUGGUAGGGGAAGGCGGAAUUCCAAGUGUAGCGGUGGAAUGCGCAGAUAUUUGGAAGAACACCGGUGGCGAAGGCGGCCUUCUGGGCCACGACUGACGCUGAGGCGCGAAAGCUAGGGGAGCGAACAGGAUUAGAUACCCUAGUAGUC
rnacentral:rRNA from 1 species